UUAGGAAUUCCCAUAGCAGUCUUUAACUAGAACGAAGAAAUAUCACAUUAAAUAAAGCAUGGAUAAAAAGUAGAUAAGUGCUAAAACAAAUUUAGAAUAGUGUUGAAGUUUGACGAAGAAGUGGCAUUUUCCUCUUGGUAGGAGAAGGCAAGUAAGUAUCAUCUUGCGCGGCUGAAGAAUGAAUAGUAGUUGCUGAAGAAAUAUAUUUUCUACGCACCUCACGUUUAACAGGAGACACUUUUCGAUUGCUAUUAAAGUCGGAAAAGUGAUUUUCAAAACUCAACAUAUCCAUGGGAUCCAAAAAAUCAUCUUCAAAGGUAUCAAACGACUUGCUCAUGGGUAGCUUGCUUGGUGUUUCUAAGCCGGCAACGGAACUAAUGUUAUUGGUAAAAUAAGAUAAUGAUCCUCCAUCAAGUAAGCUAUCACCUUUAGGACUUUCAGAUAGCGUUACUUGUUUAGAUGCAUCUCCAUUACGUAGAAUUGAAGACUUCAAAGGCGUGACUGACCAAAACUCUGCAUCAGAUGAUGUUAAAGAUGAUAAUUGCUUUGCAUCAGGUGUAGCCAGCAUUUGCAAGAUACGAGUUCGAUGCUCCUUCAAAUUUGUAUUCGGACUUGCUGAGAUACCACUCAUAUCAGAACGGAUGGGUGAAAGUAAAGAAAACUUAGUGUAGUCAUCAGCCACGAUGUCAUCACGAAAGCAAAACAAUUUAGGACACAAGGCCUUCGGGGGGGUUGGAAAAUCAAUAGAAUUUGAUCGCUUUAGCAAAAGUCCACUGGGAUUUUUUAUGGUAGGCGAGCUAGGUAAAGAAGGUAAACGGACUGCAGGGAUCUGUAGGGUAUUAGUUGUACCAUCUUUUAAACCUUUCUUGCCGAGAUUCGUUACAGUGUCAUUAAAACCCAACACGGAAUCAUGAACUGAAGGGGUUUCAACAUCCUUCUCCAAAUGUGAUACAGGUGGACCUUCUACUGGUGCAUCAUCUUUAUUCAAACCCAAUGAUUUAGCUGACUUUAUUCCCAAAGAUUCAUUCCUAAGUGAUUCAGAUGGAGAAGCACUGGAUGCUGGUGAUGACAAAGGAGGAGAUGGAGAAUUUGUACAUGAUUGUAAAGGAGAAGUUACAGAUACGACAGAGGAAACACCCAAAUCGGAAAACUUAGCUUCCAAAUCAGAAGGUGCAUCGAUACCAGGGGUAUCUACAUAGGGUUGUUGACUAUGAAGAGGAUGAAAAUUUGUGGCAUUAACAUUAGAGAUCGUCGGAAUGUUCGUUAAGGAUGCAGUAUAAUAAUUCUGAAGAUAUUGAUGUCGCUGAUUAAAUAUAUGGGGAGAAGUAUUAAACGUGUUAAAUCCAGAGGAACCGGUAGAAGAUCCAUAUUUUGUAGAGGAGGUAACGUCUUGAACAGGAGGCGCUGGUCUUGAAUUUACUCCUGGUUUACGCAGCUUUAGUUUUAGAAAUUGUUCUUCAUGACCAGGACGAAUGCUCCAAAAAUGACCCUUCCCCGGUAAAUUUCUAGGACGUUCAAUUUUCAUGAAUGCCUUAUUUAGACUUAAAUUAUGGCGGAUGGAAUUUUGCCAACCGUUAUUGGACUUAUUAUAGAAAGAAAAAGUAUUGCUGAUCCAAUCAUAUAUAGCACUUAAAGUGAGACGACGAUCGGGAGAACGGAUUAUUGACAUUCCAAUUAACAUAGCAUAGGAAUAAGGAGGUUUCUUUCCAUCAUCUAGGGGUAAGAAAAACUCCUCCGGUUCUUGAGACUGAGAAGAAGAUACAGAAGGGUUUCGAUAUAUAAUAGUAUCCAAAGAUUGCUCCGAAGGAGGAGGUAUGGGAAGAGGAGGAACAGAAUAAGUCAAUCUAGUAUAAGAAGGUAUAUAUGGUCGAGUGGCUUUUGAAGAAGGUUUUUGAAAAGAUGCAAUGUUAUUUUCUUUUCCGCCUGCAACUACGCCCUUCAACUUUGAAGCAACCUUGGGAUAAGGUGGUAAAGAUUGCAAAGGAAUUUCCUGAUAAGCAAUUGGGAGUUCAGAGUACUUAGAAGCAUUGUUAAGGUUUUUUUCAUGAGUAAAAUAAUAAGGGUUAGUAGAAUUAAAAUUCAUGAGGAAGAUGUUCAGACAAAUUGAAUAAUAAAACAAAAAUUAAAGCACCGUUAGAUAAUGGCAAUGCCAAUAAUAAUAAUGAUUAAAAGAGAAAACCAAUUAAGGGAAAAUAAUAGUAAUAGUGAAUACUACUAUA